UAUUGUUUGAUACACAUAAAAAUGAAUGCUAGUUUGAAGUCAGAAUGAGACAAUAGUGAUAACUCAUUGGAAUAUCAAGAAGACUCUCCCCAGAACAAUGCUUCACACUCAGAUAUGUGUUGGUGUUGCGUCCUUCAUUUUAUUUGCUCUUCUGGUGAUUUUGUGUAUUCGCUGCAGACCUUCAAAAAACGUGGGUAAGAAAACAAAACAUAGUG